AACGAACGCUGGCGGCAUGCCUAACACAUGCAAGUCGAACGAAGUCUUCGGACUUAGUGGCGCACGGGUGAGUAACGCGUGGGAACCUGCCCUGCGGUACGGAAUAACGGCGGGAAACUGACGCUAAUACCGUAUAUGUCUCUGGAUGAAAGAUUUAUCGCCGGAGGAGGGGCCCGCGUCUGAUUAGCUAGUUGGUGAGGUAAUGGCUCACCAAGGCGACGAUCAGUAGCUGGCCUGAGAGGAUGAUCAGCCACACUGGGACUGAGACACGGCCCAGACUCCUACGGGAGGCAGCAGUGGGGAAUAUUGGACAAUGGGGGCAACCCUGAUCCAGCAAUGCCGCGUGAGUGAUGAAGGCCUUCGGGUCGUAAAGCUCUUUUGGCAGGGACGAUGAUGACGGUACCUGCAGAAUAAGCCCCGGCUAACUUCGUGCCAGCCGCCGCCGUAAGAC
rnacentral:rRNA from 1 species